GGAAGGCUAGCCUUUGAACCCAGAUUUGUCAAAAAUCAAUACCCACAUUUUACCCCCUACCCUCAGCAGCCCCUCGUAGCGCCACUGAGGUGAGGAGGGCAUUAGGGAGGAAGGAUGAGAGACUGACACUGACAGACUGACAGCCAGGGCAGUGCUGGAGAGAACACAGGACUGUGGUCAAACAGACUCUGACCCAAGUCCCAGCUCUGCCCCUUUCUAGCCACGUGACCUUUCUGGAGUCUCUGUGUCCUCACGUGUAAAAUGGGGUGACAGAAGAGCAGUUGUGGGUCCUGCACAAGGCAGUUCUAUUUCUGUCUUCACCUGGAUCUCAUGAGGAAACUGAGGCCCUGAAUCCAUACCAGGCUCUGGGCUGGGCGCCAGGCAUGCAGUUGUGACACGGGGAUGGUCUUUGUUCCUCAGGACCCCAGAACUCCAGAAGGAUGCUGCUUUGACAAUUCAGAAGCCUUCGCCGGUGAAAUGAAGCAGGAGAAGAUGUGGUCCUUAGGGUCACCCCACUGACCAGCUCCUCUCUCCCCAGCUCACUGACCCCUUGUCCACCCUCAUGUCCAGCCAUGAGUCCACACGUGCAAUGUUUACCCGGAGCGGAUGCUGUUCGUGCAUUGCCCCUAUUCCCUCGUUCUGAGGUCCCCUGCUCCGUAAUGAGCACUGCAAAGGGGGAUACCCCCUAUCCCGUCCCCAGCCGUCAUGUCUCCACUUCCCUGCCUGGAACUUUCUCUGGCACCACAGGAGCCAACUUCCCACAGGGUACCCAGAAACGCCAGGGCCGGAAUGUUCACGGGGGCAGCCUUGACCCAGUGAUGGAUGGUGGCCAGUGACCAAACACUCCAGCCUACCGGUCACUGGGUAGGACGGCUCUAGGCACACUGCUCACAGUCGCUCAGUGGACCCCCAGGGGGGCCGAGCCCCAGGUGCCCACUGGGUAGCCUGCUCCCUUUUCCCCCUUAUUGGCUUUUCCCUCUUCCCCGUCACACUUUCCCACUCACCCCUCCUUCCCUAGACUAGCGCCUCCCGGAGAAGCCACGUGCUCCCAUCGUCUGCCCCAUGUCCCCCCACCCCACUCACCUGCUCUCGCGCUUGUCCAGACAGCAAAUAUGAAUGGUACCCACUCUGCCAGACCCUCGUGAGAUAAGGGAGGCACAGCCCUGCCCUCGAGAGCCCGCUAACUUGCGUAGAUGGACACGGGCUCCUGGGGGCCACGACCUGUCCACCAGGUGGGCUGGGACAAGAGGAGGGUAAGUGCUGAGCUAAGCCACUUCCUCAUCCAGUCAUGGGUCCCCACCCUUGGCUCUCUCCUGUGUGUAACUUUCCAAGGAAGCUUCCGGCAGCCUGGGCUGUGCGCAGCAGGCAGGCAGGAAGAACAAUAGUUAACAUUUGUGCUCGCCGCACUCGAGCUGCUCCACACAUAUUAAGUCCAUUCAUCUUCCCAUCCGCCCUGGGACGGAUACUCUUAAUCUGAACUCCAUUUUGCAGAUGGGGAAAGUGAGGGACCAAGAGGCUCCCCCGAAGUGGUACAGGUAAGAAGUAGAGAUUUUGGUCCAGGCAGCAUGACCUCGAGAGCCUGUGGUUCGGCUUCUGUGCUCUACUCUUUGCGGAAGGAGGGAAGGCAGGACGGGUGUCGGUUUGAUGCAGAAGGGAGGAUUCAAAUGCACGUGAGGGCCUGGGCAGAGAAGGCAGGUCAGCACCCCCCAAAAAUGCCUGGACCCUCCCCCCCACUUCCACACCAGUGUGCUUUAGCAUGAAUGCCACGUACACGCAUUUGUCCCAAGUCUACACAAAAGUGUGUGUUUCACUAAAUGCCACCGUAGCCACCUAAGUGUGUAAAUACGUGCACGCCCUCCGCACCCAGAGGCUUGUUCACACACGCGUGCAUGCAUCUGGGCAUCCAGAGGCCACCACACACACACACACACACGUUUGCACGUGUGCACAGACAUCGGCACGCGUGCACAUCCACACACAUCGGCACACGUGAAUACAAAUUAGCGGUCGCUUCGAAUUCUUUGCUUAAAGAAAACUUGUGACUGUAUUAAAAAUGUAGGACACAUUGGCCAAAUAAUUAAAGCGAGGAGCGAGGCAGUGGGACUUCUCACCACUCUCUCGGGGCCGCCUGUGCUGGGCUGUGCUCAGCGUGGCUUCGUCCUAUAUAUUUGAGGAAGAGGCACUUUAUUACAGUAAUUUAUCACCCCCAUAAAUGUGGCUCCUCUGUAACGCGGAAUAAUUUGGGAAGAAAUAUGUGUUAAAAAUUAAAAAUGCAGUCGGCAUGCGCCCCAGCGGGUCUGCAGGGAGACAUCGCCGCACCUCCGGUAACUGCCCGUGUAGCUCUAAUACCUACAACUUCCAUUAUUUAAAGUGUGAUUAUAUUUUUCCUGCUUGGAGCUUUGUCAGCUAUAAAUAAAAGAUAAGGGUGAAUUGUUGCGGGGCCUAGUAAGCACUUCCAUUAUUGGUACUUAAGGGGGCUUGGGGAUGGAGGGAACGGGCAGGGGGUGGGGAAGGAUGGGAGGCCACCUGGGGGGUACUGCCUGGGUCUGGAAGGUGAGUUGUGGGCAUGGGUGGGCCCAGUCCUUUCUCUGGUUGAGUUUUCCACUGGGUCCAGAGCGACGUGACCCCACGAACCUGGGUUCUGUUGUCCACCGUGGACCACGGUGAAAGCCAUCCACAGAGGUUGCCGCCUGCUGUGGCUCCCUACGUGCCGACCCGCUCCUGUUCUCCCCAGGGACCCCACAACCAUGGGACACCCUGGGGAGAAGGAUGUCACCCAUUUGAAGAGAAAGGGAUUCAUCCACUUGAACGUGUUUGUUUUUUCACAACCAAGAGUUGUUGCUUUGAAGUGAGUCCAGACCGUGGCUGUGGGAGAAAAAGGAUUCACAAGAGAGUGUACGUGUGGGGGAUGCCUUUAUUAGCCAAAGCAGGUCCUUGGCCUCUGAACCAGAGAGCUGUUCUAAUUAAACAGAGAGUAACACGCCUCUAACAACAAUCAGAUGGGAAAACAAAUGUGUUUGUUUUGUCACAAGGAGAAAAGGAGCAAAAUAAAGCUAAAUGAAAAAGAAAAAACUGGAAAUCAUCUCCUUGUCCCGUUUCCCCAAGUCUUGCACGUUUCUCUAAAGUUUUCUCACUUCCCUGAGCCUCUGUUUGCUCGUCUGUAAAUUGGGGAUGACAGCACCCAUCUAUCUCCAGGGUUAUUGUGGCAAUUAAAUAAGAUAACAUCUGUACAGCAUUGGGACCGGCUGUCGCCAUACCCCAGUUAGAGCUCCAGCUGUCACACUCUUUGGUAGUUACCAAAACGAUUUGAAAACUUCGGUCCACACAAAACUUUAUAGCAGCUUUAUUCAUGACGGCCCAAACCUGGAAGCAACCAAGAUAUCCUUCAGUAAGGGAAACGGGUAACCAAACUGUGGCCUAACCAGACA